rnacentral:rRNA from 1 species
GGGCCAUCCAUGAUGAGACCUGGGGCUCCGCUUUAUACAGUGGCAAACGGGUGCGUAACGCGUAAGCAACCUGCCUCAAACUGGGGGAUAGCCCGGCGAAAGCGGGGGUGAGCCCCCAUGGUCCUUUUUUUCCACCUGGGGAGUUAGGUAAACAUUUAUGGGUUUGAGAGGGGCUUGCGUCUGAUUAGCUAGUUGGCAGGGUAACGGCCUACCAAGGCGAUGAUCAGUAGGGGUUCUGAGAGGAUUGGCCCCCACAUGGGUACUGAGAUACGGACCCAACUCCUACGGGAGGCAGCAGUAGGGAAUAUUGGGCAAUGGGCGAGAGCCUGACCCAGCCAUGCCGCGUGCAGGAAGAAGGCUUUCUGAGUCGUAAACUGCUUUUGAUAGGGAAGAAUAACCAGUACGUGUACUGGGAUGACGGUACCUACAGAAUAAGCACCGGCUAACUCCGUGCCAGCAGCCGCGGUAAU